rnacentral:rRNA from 1 species
UACGUUUGGGGCAAGCGUUAUCCGGAUUUACUGGGUGUAAAGGGAGCGUAGGCGGCCUGGCAAGCCUGAUGUGAAAUACCGGGGCCCAACCCCGGGGCUGCAUUGGGAACUGCCAGGCUGGAGUGCCGGAGAGGCAGGCGGAAUUCCUAGUGUAGCGGUGAAAUGCGUAGAUAUUAGGAGGAACACCAGUGGCGAAGGCGGCCUGCUGGACGGUGACUGACGCUGAGGCUCGAAAGCGUGGGGAGCAAACAGG